GAUGAACGCUGGCGGUAUGCUUAACACAUGCAAGUCGAACGGACUCUUCGGAGUUAGUGGCGGACGGGUGAGUAACGCGUGAGAAUCUGGCUUUGGGUUCGGGACAACCACUGGAAACGGUGGCUAAUACCGGAUGUGCCGAGAGGUAAAAGAGAAAUUGCCUGAAGAUGAGCUCGCGUCUGAUUAGCUAGUUGGUGAGGUAAAGGCUCACCAAGGCAGCGAUCAGUAGCUGGUCUGAGAGGAUGACCAGCCACACUGGGACUGAGACACGGCCCAGACUCCUACGGGAGGCAGCAGUGGGGAAUUUUCCGCAAUGGGCGAAAGGCUGACGGAGCAAUACCGCGUGAGGGAAGGAGGCUCUUGGGGUGUAAACCUCUUUUCUUAGGGAAGAACAAAAUGACGGUACCUAAGGAAUCAGCAUCGGCUAACUCCGUG
rnacentral:rRNA from 1 species